rnacentral:rRNA from 2 species
GAACGCUGGCGGCGUGCCUAAUACAUGCAAGUCGAACGAACUCUGGUAUUGAUUGGUGCUUGCAUCAUGAUUUACAUUUGAGUGAGUGGCGAACUGGUGAGUAACACGUGGGAAACCUGCCCAGAAGCGGGGGAUAACACCUGGAAACAGAUGCUAAUACCGCAUAACAACUUGGACCGCAUGGUCCGAGUUUGAAAGAUGGCUUCGGCUAUCACUUUUGGAUGGUCCCGCGGCGUAUUAGCUAGAUGGUGGGGUAACGGCUCACCAUGGCAAUGAUACGUAGCCGACCUGAGAGGGUAAUCGGCCACAUUGGGACUGAGACACGGCCCAAACUCCUACGGGAGGCAGCAGUAGGGAAUCUUCCACAAUGGACGAAAGUCUGAUGGAGCAACGCCGCGUGAGUGAAGAAGGGUUUCGGCUCGUAAAACUCUGUUGUUAAAGAAGAACAUAUCUGAGAGUAACUGUUCAGGUAUUGACGGUAUUUAACCAGAAAGCCACGGCUAACUACGUGCCAGCAGCCGCGGUAAUACGUAGGUGGCAAGCGUUGUCCGGAUUUAUUGGGCGUAAAGCGAGCGCAGGCGGUUUUUUAAGUCUGAUGUGAAAGCCUUCGGCUCAACCGAAGAAGUGCAUCGGAAACUGGGAAACUUGAGUGCAGAAGAGGACAGUGGAACUCCAUGUGUAGCGGUGAAAUGCGUAGAUAUAUGGAAGAACACCAGUGGCGAAGGCGGCUGUCUGGUCUGUAACUGACGCUGAGGCUCGAAAGUAUGGGUAGCAAACAGGAUUAGAUACCCUGGUAGUCCAUACCGUAAACGAUGAAUGCUAAGUGUUGGAGGGUUUCCGCCCUUCAGUGCUGCAGCUAACGCAUUAAGCAUUCCGCCUGGGGAGUACGGCCGCAAGGCUGAAACUCAAAGGAAUUGACGGGGGCCCGCACAAGCGGUGGAGCAUGUGGUUUAAUUCGAAGCUACGCGAAGAACCUUACCAGGUCUUGACAUACUAUGCAAAUCUAAGAGAUUAGACGUUCCCUUCGGGGACAUGGAUACAGGUGGUGCAUGGUUGUCGUCAGCUCGUGUCGUGAGAUGUUGGGUUAAGUCCCGCAACGAGCGCAACCCUUAUUAUCAGUUGCCAGCAUUAAGUUGGGCACUCUGGUGAGACUGCCGGUGACAAACCGGAGGAAGGUGGGGAUGACGUCAAAUCAUCAUGCCCCUUAUGACCUGGGCUACACACGUGCUACAAUGGAUGGUACAACGAGUUGCGAACUCGCGAGAGUAAGCUAAUCUCUUAAAGCCAUUCUCAGUUCGGAUUGUAGGCUGCAACUCGCCUACAUGAAGUCGGAAUCGCUAGUAAUCGCGGAUCAGCAUGCCGCGGUGAAUACGUUCCCGGGCCUUGUACACACCGCCCGUCACACCAUGAGAGUUUGUAACACCCAAAGUCGGU